UACGGAGGGUGCGAGCGUUGUCCGGAAUCAUUGGGCGUAAAGGGCGCGUAGGUGGGCGCGACAAGCGUGCGGUGAAAGCUCGGGGCUCAACCCCGAGUCGGCCGUGCGAACUGUUGUGCUUGAGCACUGUAGAGGCAGGCGGAAUUCCGGGUGUAGCGGUGGAAUGCGUAGAGAGUCCGGAAGAACACCGGUGGCGAAGGCGCCUGCUGGGCAGUAGCUGACACUGAGGCGCGACAGCGUGGGGAGCAAACAGG
rnacentral:rRNA from 1 species